GCAUUGGUCAUCAAAAGUGUUUCACGUCAGGAUGAACGUCCGGUGGAGCUAGUCAAAGAAUUCUGUGCUCUCGUCUUGGCUAUUAUUUCUAUUGAGAGGCUUCUUGUUGCACCGCCCCCUUUUUGGCAUGUCAUUAUUGUAGACAAGGGCUCAGUCUGACACGUGAGGUAUUUUCGUUCUAACUUGUGGGCUUUACGAUUUUAUCCUUUAAAAGGUACUUCACGUGGGAAGGAUAAUCUCCUUUUUAUAAACGCG
rnacentral:lncRNA from 1 species